rnacentral:tRNA from 1 species
UGGGGUACAGCUCAGUUGUAGAACACCUACUUAGCAUGCAUGAGGUCCUGGGUUCAAUUCCUAGUACCUCUA